GUGACUGUGGAUCAACCUGCAGUACAGACAUUUACUCCAGGAGCCACUGUUACUCUGACAUGUGCUACAAAUCCUGAUGUUCUCAGAUGGAAAAAUGGAGAGGAAGGUAUAUUCUGGUAUCAGCAGAAACCAGGACAGCUUCCAAAGCUCCUUAUAAAUUAUGUUAAAAAGCUUGAAUCAGGAACUCCAGCUCGGUUUAGUGGCAGUGGAAGCGGCUCUGAUUUCUCUUUGACCAUCAGUGGAGCUCAGGCUGAAGAUGCUGCAGUUUAUUACUGUAAAAGUAUCCAUGAGAUAAACGAUGCUGUUGUGUUCACACAGUGAUUCAGAGUCGUACAAAAACCUCCCUCAGUCAGACUGCAGACACUCUGAGCUGUUAGAGCAGAAACUGACUGCAGC